rnacentral:rRNA from 1 species
CCUACGGGAGGCAGCAGUAGGGAAUAUUGCGCAAUGGAGGAAACUCUGACGCAGCAAUUCCGCGUGAAGGAUGAAGCCUUUAGGGGUGUAAACUUCUGUCAAUAGGGAAGAACAAGACGGUACCUAUAGAGGAAGCACCGGCUAACUACGUGCCAGCAGCCGCGGUAAUACGUAGGGUGCGAGCGUUGUCCGGAAUUAUUGGGCGUAAAGCGUCCGUAGGCGGUUAAGUAAGUCUAAUGUAAAAGGCAUCUGCUCAACAGAUGUUGUGUAUUGGAAACUAUUUAACUAGAGUAUGGUAGAGGUUGCUGGAAUUCCAGGAGUAGCGGUGAAAUGCGUAGAUAUCUGGAGGAACACCGGUGGCGAAAGCGGGCAACUGGACCAUAACUGACGCUAAUGGACGAAAGCCAGGGUAGCGAAAGGGAUUAGAUACCCUUGUAGUC